AGUAACUGUAAGAUCACUUUUCAGUCAGUUUUCAAGAAACCCUGUAUUCUGAAACCUAAGAAGGGAUGUAGAUGUGGAAACGCUACUGCCACUCCCGGAAAAUUAACAUGUUGUGGCCAAAGGUGUCCAUGUUAUGUCGACAGUAAACCAUGCAUAGAAUGCAAGUGUAGAGGAUGCCGAAACCCUCAUAGAAUCGAUGGACAAAAGGUCAUGUCACAUUUGCCAGAACUUCAGAAAAUUCAAAUACUACCGAUUACCCAGCCUAUGUUGUCAGAUCACCAAAAUGUUCAAAUUGAAGGGCAUCAGCUGGAACCAGUAGAAAUUGAUCCACAUUUCAAAGCAUUCAAACUUGUUGCUGGAUAUAACACAAUAACGGCAGAUCUGUUAUCACUGGGAUUUAAUGAAGACCAUCCAGAUAUAGGCGUCAUAUGACUAAAUUAAAAAUGGAAGUUACGAAGCUACACUUCCAGGAAGCUGGGAACGUACCUGUAUAAAGAAGUUUAAAAAUAUGUGAAACAGGAAAAAAAAGUAUAUUAUUCUGGAAGAUGAUAAUCAGGACCUCUAAAUAUGUUAAAUAUGUUUGUUUAUUAUUGUAAUAAUAUGAGGAAUUGGUUCGGAAUAUAAGUUUUGAAUGUGGUCGAUAA